ACACACACACACACACACACACACACACAGCGCAAGAGACGCAGGGAGGGAAAAAGCCCUGAGAUCCCACCAUUCUUUCACUGAGAUAAUCUGCAGGAAAGGUGCGACAAGCACAAGGUGUGCAGGAGUGUGUGUGCGUGUGUGUGUGUGU